rnacentral:rRNA from 1 species
GACGAACGCUGGCGGCGUGCUUAACACAUGCAAGUCAAGGGGGCCCAGCAAUGGGCAACCGGCGAACGGGUGCGUAACACGUGAGCAACCUACCGAAAUGUGGGGGAUAGCCGGCCUAACGGCCGAGUAAUACCGCAUACGCUUUCAGAGAGGCAUUUCUUUGGAAGGAAACCUACGGGACAUUUCGAGGGGCUCGCGGCCUAUCAGCUAGUUGGCGAGGUAACGGCUCACCAAGGCAACGACGGGUAGCUGGUCUGAGAGGAUGGCCAGCCACAUUGGGACUGAGAUACGGCCCAGACUCCUACGGGAGGCAGCAGUGGGAAUCUUGCGCAAUGGCCUAACGGCUGACGCAGCGACGCCGCGUGUGGGAUGAAGCUCUUCGGAGUGUAAACCACUGUUGCCCGGGACGAAUAGCUCGAUUAAUCGAGCCUGACGGUACCGGGUGAGGAAGC